rnacentral:rRNA from 1 species
CCUACGGGCGGCAGCAGUAGGGAAUUUUCGGCAAUGGGGGGAACCCUGACCGAGCAACGCCGCGUGAACGAAGAAGUUAUUCGUAAUGUAAAGUUCUUUUAACAGGGAAGAAAGUGACGGUACCUGAAGAAGAAGCUCCGGCUAAAUACGUGCCAGCAGCCGCGGUAAUACGUAUGGAGCAAGCGUUAUCCGGAUUUACUGGGUGUAAAGGGAGAGUAGGUGGCAGAGCAAGUCCGAAGUGAAAACCCAAAGCUCAACUAUGGGAAUGCUUUAGAAACUGCUCAGCUAGAGUGCAGGAGAGGCAAGUGGAAUUCUUAGUGUAGCGGUGAAAUGCGUAGAUAUUAGGAGGAACACCAGUGGCGAAGGCGGCUUGCUGGACUGUAACUGACACUGAGGCUCGAAAGCGUGGGGAGCAAACAGGAUUAGAUACCCGGGUAGUC